GCUGGCGGCGCGCUUAACACAUGCAAGUCGCACGAGAAAGUGGAGCAAUCCAUGAGUACAGUGGCGUACGGGUGAGUAACACGUGGGUGAUCUACCUUCUGGUGGGGAAUAACCCUGGGAAACCGGGGCUAAUACCGCAUAACCUCGAGAGAGGAAAGCAGCAAUGCGCCGGAAGAGGAGCCCGCGGCCGAUUAGCUAGUUGGCAGGGUAAGAGCCUACCAAGGCAGAGAUCGGUAGCCGGCCUGAGAGGGCACACGGCCACACUGGCACUGAAACACGGGCCAGACUCCUACGGGAGGCAGCAGUGGGGAAUCUUGCACAAUGGGGGCAACCCUGAUGCAGCGACGCCGCGUGAGCGAUGAAGCCCUUCGGGGUGUAAAGCUCUUUCGGCAGGGAAGAUGAUGACGGUACCUGCAGAAGCAGCUGCGGCUAACUACGUGCCAGCAGCCGCGGUAAUACGUAGGCAGCGAGCGUUGUUCGGAGUUACUGGGCGUAAAGGGUGUGUAGGCGGUUCUUUAAGUUUGGUGUGAAAUCUCCCGGCUCAACCGGGAGGGUGCGCCGAAUACUGAGGGACUUGGAGUGCGGGAGAGGAAAGUGGAAUUCCUGGUGUA
rnacentral:rRNA from 1 species